rnacentral:rRNA from 1 species
CCAAGUCAGGUGGGAUCACCCGCUGAGUUUAA